GCCGAAGUAGCUCAAUGGUAGAGCACCGCUUUCGUAAAGCGGGGGUUAAGGGUUCGAGUCCCUUCUUCGGCU
rnacentral:tRNA from 1 species